GCACCUUCGGUGUCCGAGUUGUAAUCUCUAGAAGUGUUUUCCGCGUUGGACCGCACACAAGUCUGUUGGAAUACAGCGGCAUAGUGGUGAGACCCCCGUAUAUGGUGCGGACGCCCAACGCUUUGUGAUACACUUUCGAAGAGUCGAGUUGUUUGGGAAUGCAGCUCAAAUUGGGUGGUAAAUUCCAUCUAAAGCUAAAUAUUGGCGAGAGACCGAUAGCGAACAAGUACCGUGAGGGAAAGAUGAAAAGCACUUUGGAAAGAGAGUUAACAGUACGUGAAAUUGUUGGAAGGGAAACGCUUGAAGUCAGACUUGCUUGCCGAGCAAUCGGUUUGCAGGCCAGCAUCAGUUUUCCGGGGUGGAUAAUGGUAGAGAGAAGGUAGCAGUUUCGGCUGUGUUAUAGCUCUUUGCUGGAUACACCUUGGGGGACUGAGGAACGCAGUGUGCCUUACGGCGGAUUUCUCGAGAUCUUCACACUUAGGAUGCUGGUGGAAUGGCUUUAAACGACC
rnacentral:rRNA from 1 species